AUUUUUCUUAGCCAAAAACCCAAAGAAAUUUCCAGAGAAAGGAAAAAGGAAGAAGUUUCAUUUCUUCUUCUUCACCAAGAAGAAAUAUUUUCCUACACCAUCCAUUAAAGCUUGAGGUUUGGGAAUUCAAGCUUCUAUUGUUUAUUAUCUACCUCUAGCAACAAUAAAAUAAGAUCGUACGGGUAUUUGGAUUGGAGAAAUAGAGAAUUUGGAGGGUUAAACAACGGGCUAUUUUAUUGUGCUUUAUGAAAUUUGGAUUAAGCGAUCGAGUGUUUUCUUUCAGGAUUAAUACUUGAUGAUGUGGUCGAGCUUCCAACCAUUGUUCCGGAAGUCUCAAUUAUGGGGAGUCUUAUUUUUCUUAGAGCUGCAGUAGUCAAGAUAUUAGAGUUAGCAUGUAGCAAACAAUUUAUGUUUAUUUUAUGCCAUGACAUAAUGAUGUAUUUUGGGAAAAUGAAUUAUCCAGGAAUUUAAUAUAUGGUUAAUUGGUAUUUUA